rnacentral:rRNA from 1 species
GACGAACGCUGGCGGCGUGCUUAACACAUGCAAGUCGAACGGAAAGGCCCUGCUUUUGUGGGGUGCUCGAGUGGCGAACGGGUGAGUAACACGUGAGUAACCUGCCCUUGACUUUGGGAUAACUUCAGGAAACUGGGGCUAAUACCGGAUAGGAGCUCCUGCUGCACGGGGGGGGUUGGAAAGUUUCGGUGGUUGGGGAUGGACUCGCGGCUUAUCAGCUUGUUGGUGGGGUAGUGGCUUACCAAGGCUUUGACGGGUAGCCGGCCUGAGCGGGUGACCGGCCACCUUGGGACUGAGGUGCGGCCCAGACUCCUACGGGAGGCAGCAGUGGGGAAUAUUGCACAAUGGGCGGAAGCCUGAUGCAGCAACGCCGCGUGCGGGAUGACGGCCUUCGGGUUGUAAACCGCUUUCGCCUGUGACGAAGCGUGAGUGACGGUAAUGGGUAAAGAAGCACCGGCUAACUACGUG